AAGGGGUUAGGUUAAAUCAAGACCUUUAGCCUUCAAAGCUAAAAGUGAAAAAGUUUUCAGUCCUUA
rnacentral:tRNA from 1 species